GCCGCUGUAGCUCAGUCCGGUGGAGCAAUCGGCUGUUAACCGAUCGGUCACAAGUUCGAAUCUUGUCAGCGGCGCCA
rnacentral:tRNA from 1 species